GGAAUUUCACUCUAGUGGCGGAACUUCACUCUUUUUUUCCCCUAGAAGUCAUGGAAUUGAUGAUGGGGCCUGAUGUUUGUCGUGCCAUGGGGACGAUGGUAGGGUAUAAGAACACCAUCAGUGCCAGAAGGUCCAGAAAUGGCUGGAACCUGUGAAAUUUAAUCCAGACAUGCCAUAUCUUGAAGAGAUACCUGAUCACCUGAUGUGAUAGUAUGUUUCAGGGACUCCAAGAAUGAUGGUGGCUCCUCACAUGUCUUCUUAAAAUCCACAGGUGACAACUGCAGUUAAAAAAUAUAAAUUAGGUUGUUGCUAAAAAAAAAAAAUGUAAGUAUAGUAGAUGGCAUUAGUACAAUACACACAAUUGAGUGCAAUUGUAAUUGUUGUGGCAUGCCAUAGAGAGUUUUCCACAGAGUUAAUAAACCUAGGCCUAGUCCUAACCGCCUAUGUAGAUACUGUAGAACAGGAAGACACGGGUCUCUAGCCCUGAAUAUGUAUUAAAACACAAACAUCUAGAGAUUUCAAGAUAAGUGCCUAUUCAUAAUAAGCAGUAGCAUACCAAAACACAUGUAGUCAUGUACUUACUGCUUCUGGCUGGGAAGGGGGUGGUAGAGUCCGUUUUUCUAGUUGCACCCAAUCAAUGGCAUUAAAAAAUGGGUGCUCCCGAAUAUUUCCAUUGCAGCCCAGUCGUUCUUUUGGAUUUUUCUUCAGGAGCUAAAGAAAGAAAACAUUAUCAGAUAUUUAUUGCUAAUAUGAAGCUACACACCUUCACUAAUACCCUCAUAGCACAGGGAUUUUGUCCAAUUGCCUAUAUACUAUUCAGCAAACAAGAAUAUCCAGUUAGUGUCACUGCUAGAUCUCUAGGAUCAGUAUCAUUUCUCUGGCAAAUUAUAUAAUAUAGCAGAACUAGUUAUACCCUCUCCAUAAAUUCCAAUACUUACCAUUCUCAGGAGAUCUUGCAAUUCGAAGCUGAACCUUAUCAGAAUGCAUGGCUGUCCAAGAAGAAUAGACAAACGGCAUUCUGUCCUGUUGCCGUACUCCAUGAAUGGAUUACGUACAAAAAAACAGUUGAUGCAGACGUAUAAAAUCACCCGGUUCUACUUACGUUCUGUUGAGGAGCUGCGUCGGGGUCUUUUUCCUCCUUGCGUUGUUUUUUGCUCCCUGUCUGAGCUGCACCCGUGUUUUUUCGCCUUUUUGCUCCUUUUUCUCCCACUUCUUUGCUCAGUGCUGCUCCUGUCGUCGAUUCGUCUCUUCAUCUUGACGGUACCAAUAAGAUCUCAAAUAUUGGACUAAAGUUGGAUUUUCUUCUUUCUUCAAAAGCAACCUCAACGAAAGUUUGUGAAUUUGCUUUCAGCUGCAAAAAUAAAAAUCGCUUUUCCGCA